CUUUAGAUGGCGACCGGCGCACGGGUGCGUAACGCGUAUGCAACCUACCCAUUACAGGGGGAUAACACUGAGAAAUCGGUACUAAUACCCCAUAACAUCCAGGGAGGCAUCUUCUUGGGUUGAAAACUCCGGUGGUAAUGGAUGGGCAUGCGUUGUAUUAGUUAGUUGGUGGGGUAACGGCUCACCAAGACAACGAUACAUAGGGGGACUGAGAGGUUAACCCCCCACAUUGGUACUGAGACACGGACCAAACUCCUACGGAAGGCAGCAG
rnacentral:rRNA from 1 species